rnacentral:lncRNA from 1 species
GGCUCUGGUGAUGGUGAACAAGAGAGAUCUAGACAUGCAGAGUGGGUUUGAGUUUCUGGAAUAAGAUCGGAUCUUCAGAGAUUGUCUCAGGUGAGACUCGGGAGUCUCAGAGAUAGUAAAUUUGGGGGAGGGUUUGUCUUGCUUUCCCUUCAGGAUGAAGAUGGGAAGGUGUUGUCAGAUGAGGAUGUAAGAGCAGAGGCUGACACCUUCAUGUUUGCAGGCCAUGACAGCACAGCCAGUGGUCUCUCCUGGGUCCUGUACAACCUCGCGAGGCACCCAGAAUACCAGGAGCACUGCCGGCAGGAGGUGCAAGAGCUUCGAAGGACCGUGAUCCUAAAGAGAUUGAAUGGUCUACGACCCCUUCCGCUUCAACUCAGAGAACAGCAAGGAGAGGUCACCUCUGGCUUUUAUUCCCUUCUCUGUGGGACCCAGGAACUGCAUCAGGCAGGCGUUCGCCAUGGCGAAGAUGAAGGUGGUCCUGGCGCUGACGCUGCUGCGCUUCCGCUUCCUGCUGGACCACACGGAGCCCCGCAGGAAGCCGGAGCUGAUCAUGCGCGCUGAAGGAGGACUUUGGCUGCGAGUGGAGCCCCUGAACGCGGGCUUGCAGUGACCCUCUGAACCAUCCACCUGCCUUUCCAGAUUCUCCGGAAUAAAACUGUGCCUGGGCCUCUACUGACAGCCAGCAGGGGGCUCUUGAGGACUGGGAGGCGUCAGGGAAGGGGCAUAACCUGGGCGGGUUAGGUGGGGUGUUGUCACUGAACCCAAGAACCUGACUGCCUCUUUGGCUGAUCAUAGGGCCUCCAUGCUUUGGGAGUGUCCCAAGACCGAGGUCCUUAGCCAGCUCAGAACACAGGGAUAGAAGGGUGCAGCUUCUAUCCUGGUAGGCUUUUAGGAAUUCUUAGCUCCCUUUCUUGCCAGCAUCCCACCCUACGUCUCCCCCUUCAAGUUGAUCGCUUUUGUGAACCCCCUUCCCCUACCUUCAGACAGCUCCAUUUUUUCCCCUCUUUUGAACCCUCUGACUCUGCCCAGGCAGCCUGGCCAACAGAUACUACCUGAAUCCUCCCCCUACUCUCCUCUGCUAUGUGCCAGGCACCCUCACACAUGUCAGGGGUUCAGCACAUCCCCACCCUUUCACCUCUAGGUUCCUCCUUCAUUCCCAUCACCUGCCCAUGUUGGGGUGGGGUGCAGUCAGGGCCAUCCUGUUUGACCCUUGAGAUCCAAAGCCAGAUAACUGGAAGCAAAACACCAUCCCAAAGGCAUGACAUCUGGAACCAGACUACUUGGGCUCAAGUCUCAGCUUUGCUGUGUGGCUUGGGCAAGUUAAUUCUCCUCUCUUUUCUUCAGUUUUCUCAAGCAUAUAAUGGGGACAACAAUGCUACCUAUGUCAGGGUUUUCCUGAGGACAAAAUAUG